CAUGGUUAGACCAGUCUCAGUCAAGCAAAACAACUUACAGUUUGAUCCCCCGAAACUAAGUGAGCUUACUUCAAAGCAGCCCCCAAGGCCAACCCGUCCCUGUCGCAAAAGGGUGGAAAGACUUUCAAGUAGAGGUGACAAGCCUACCGAACUUAGAGAUAGCUGGUUGUUCGAGAAAAGAAUAUGAGUUCCCCCUCAAGUUGCCCAAUUGUACCAAACAAUGAACCCGACUUAAGAGCCAUUCAAGUAGGGCACAGCUUGCUUGAAAAAGGAUACAACCUAGAACAUAGGGUAAACUAUUACCUCUUAUAAUUAAGUUGGCCUGAAAGCAGCCACCUUCCAAAAAGCGUCAAAGCUUAAUUAUCUCGCCCCUCAAUACCACAACCCACACUGAACCCUUAAUUUGUACCGAACGACUCCAUACUAUUAUGGAAGACACUAUGUCUAAACUAGUAAUAAGAAAAUGCCUUUCUCCAAAGUGCAAGUAUAAACCAGCAUUGACCAACUACUGGUAAUUAACGCUCAUGAAGCCACUAUAGUAACACCCUAAGAAAAACCUAUUUUCUCCCCCGUUGACCUUACACUAGAGCACUAAUGGAAAGAUUAAAAGGAAAAGAAGGAACUCGGCAAAUUUAG
rnacentral:rRNA from 1 species